rnacentral:rRNA from 1 species
GUGCCAGCCGCCGCGGUAAUACGUAGGUGGCAAGCGUUGUCCGGAUUUACUGGGCGUAAAGGAUGUGUAGGCGGAUAUUUAAGUGAGAUGUGAAAUCCCCGGGCUUAACUUGGGGGCUGCAUUUCAUACUGGAUGUCUGGAGUGCAGGCGAGGAAAGCAGAAUUCCUAGUGUAGCGGUGUAAUGCGUGGAGAUUAGGAAGAAAACCAGUGGCGAAGGCAGUUUUCUGGAGUGUAACUGAC